rnacentral:rRNA from 1 species
CGAUGGUUCAUUCAAAUUUCUGCCCUAUCAACUUUCGAUGGUAGAGUAGUGGUCUACCAUGGUUUCAACGGGUAACGGGGAAUUAGGGUUCUAUUCCGGAGAGGGAGCUGAGAAACGGCUACCACAUCCAAGGAAGGCAGCAGGCGCGCAAAAUUACCCAAUCCCGACACGGGGAGGUAGUGACAAUAAAUACUGAUACAGGGCUCUUUUGGGUCUUGUAAGUUGGAAUGAGUACAAUUUAAAUCCCUUAACGAGGAACAAUUGGAGGGCAAGUCUGGUGCCAGCAGCCGCGGUAAUUCCAGCUCCAAUAGCGUAUAUUAACAGUUGUUGCAGUUAAAAAGCUCGUAGUUGAACCUUGGGCCUGGCUGGCCGGUCCGCCUCACCGGGUGCACUGGUCCGGCCGGCCUUUCCUUCUGGGGAGCCGCAUGCCUUCACUGGGUGUGUCGGGGAACCAGGACUUUUACUUUGAAAAAAUUAGAGUGUUCAAAGCAGGCCUAUGCUCGAAUACAUUAGCAUGGAAUAAUAGAA